UACGUAGGGCGCAAGCGUUGUCCGGAAUUAUUGGGCGUAAAGAGCUCGUAGGCGGCCUGUCGCGUCAAUUGUGAAAGCCCGGGGCUUAACCCCGGGUCUGCAGUCGAUACGGGCAGGCUAGAGUGUGGUAGGGGAGAUCGGAAUUCCUGGUGUAGCGGUGAAAUGCGCAGAUAUCAGGAGGAACACCGGUGGCGAAGGCGGUUCUCUGGGCAUUCCCUGACGCUGAGGAGCGAAAGUGUGGGGAGCGAACAGG
rnacentral:rRNA from 1 species